GACAGAGGGUGCAAACGUUGUUCGGAAUUACUGGGCGUAAAGCGCGUGUAGGCGGCUCGGCAAGUCGGAUGUGAAAGCCCUGGGCUUAACCUAGGAAGUGCAUUCGAAACUGCCAAGCUUGAGUUCUGGAGAGGAAGGCGGAAUUCUCGGUGUAGAGGUGAAAUUCGUAGAUAUCGAGAGGAACACCUGCGGCGAAGGCGGGUUGCUGGGCUGAUACUGACGCUGAGGCGCGAAAGCCAGGGGAGCGAACGGG
rnacentral:rRNA from 1 species